UACGUAGGUGGCAAGCGUUGUCCGGAUUUGUUGGGCUUAAAGGGUGCGUAGGCGGCCUUGUAAGUCAGUGCUGAAAUAUCCCGGCUUAACCGGGAGGGUGGCAUUGAUACUGCAGGGCUUGAGUAAAGUUGAGGUUGGCGGAAUUGACGGUGUAGCGGUGAAAUGCUUAGAUAUCGUCAAGAACACCGAUAGUGAAGACAGCUAACUAAGCUUUAACUGACGCUGAGGCACGAAAGUGUGGGGAUCAAACAGG
rnacentral:rRNA from 1 species